rnacentral:rRNA from 1 species
ACGGAGGGUGCGAGCGUUGUUCGGAAUCACUGGGCGUAAAGGGCGUGUAGGCGGCCUGCUAAGUCUGAUGUGAAAGCCCGGGGCUCACCCCCGGAAGGGCAUUGGAUACUGGCAGGCUCGAGUCCCGGAGAGGAGGGUGGAAUUCCUGGUGUAGCGGUGAAAUGCGUAGAUAUCAGGAGGAACACCGGUGGCGAGGGCGGCUCUCUGGACGGAGACUGACGCUGAGACGCGAAAGCGUGGGGAGCGAACAGGA